CAACCCAGUAGGAGAAAAACGGUUUCUCCUUCAAAAGCAGGUGAAAGAGUCAGAGUUAGCCCCAGUUCUUACUGUUAGGAGUCCCAAAAGAACACCAAUUUAUACAACCAUAACAUAUAUUCAGAGGACCUAGGAGGAUCUAGGUCAGACCCAUACAGGCUCCCUGGUUGUCACUUUAGCCUCUGUGAGCUUCUAUGAUCUCUGGUUAGUUAAUUCUGUGGGUUUUCUUGUGGUCUUCUUGACCCCUCUGACUCCUAUAAAUCUUCCUCCCUCUUUUAUAGAGGAUUCCCUGAGCUGCACCUAAUGUUUGGCUGUGGGUCUCUGCAUCUGUUUCCAUCAUCCUCUCUGAUGAUGAUGAUGCUAGGAUCCUAUUUACAAGUAUAGCAGAGUAUCAUUAGGAAUCAUUUCAUUGAUAUUUUGCGGUCAUGUUUGAUUUUAUCCUAGGUCUGUAUCCUAGGGUAUCCUAGGAUACCCAGUCUCUGGUACCUGGACCUAUAAGCAAUGUCAGGCAUGGGUUCCCUUUUGUGGCCCGUGUCUCAGUUUAGACCAGUCAUUGGUUGGCCACUCCUACAAUUUCUGUGUCACCAAUUUUACCCCAGCACAUCUUGCAGACAGAAAAAAAAAUGUAGGUUGUAAUUUUUGUGGCUGUGUUGUCCCAAUCCCUCCACUUGCCUGGUUACAGGUGAUGGCUGGUUCAGGCUCCAUAUCCUGAUUGCUAGGAAUCUUUGGAUCACCCUUUUAGAUUCCUAGGUGUUUCCAAUGUCCCAGGUUUCUACCUCCCUUUCCCAGGGAGAUUCAUGUGUCCACCCCCCCCCCCCCCUUGAGCCCUCCUUGUUACUUAGCCUCUUUGGGUCUGUGGAUUAUGGUAUGUCUAUCUUUUACUUUAUAGCCAAUAUUCACCUAUAAGUGAGUACAAUAUUUGUCUUUCUGGGUCUGUGUUACCUAACUCAAAAUGAUUUAUUUUUCUAUUUUUUUCCCCCUAUGGGACCUGAGACUGAAAUAGCUACAGUGCAAGACGGAGAGAGGCCUUCAUGCAUGGUGUGCAUUUGCCACCUAGUGACCACACUGAAGGUCAGCAGGAUGGAUCAGAACUGGACAAGAAAUAGACUAUUCUCAAGAAUCAGUAAUCUAGAAACAAGAGUUGGCAUCGAGGACUUGUGAAAUAUUUCUGAUUUGAAUGGUAUUCAUGAUGACAAUAAGAGAUCAGCAACACAUCCAAAGAUUUUUGUUAAAUGAGAUAAUCGAAAGAACAGUUAAAUGUUACACUAAAACUUGAGAAUUUUUAAAAUAAAAAAGUUG
rnacentral:lncRNA from 1 species